GUGCCAGCAGCCGCGGUAAUACGUAGGUGGCAAGCGUUGUCCGGAUUUAUUGGGCGUAAAGCGAGCGCAGGCGGUUUCUUAAGUCUGAUGUGAAAGCCCCCGGCUCAACCGGGGAGGGUCAUUGGAAACUGGGAGACUUGAGUGCAGAAGAGGAGAGUGGAAUUCCAUGUGUAGCGGUGAAAUGCGUAGAUAUAUGGAGGAACACCAGUGGCGAAGGCGGCUCUCUGGUCUGCAACUGACGCUGAGGCUCGAAAGCGUGGGGAGCAAACAGGAUUAGAUACCCUGGUAGUCCACGCCGUAAACGAUGAGUGCUAAGUGUUGGAGGGUUUCCGCCCUUCAGUGCUGCAGCUAACGCAUUAAGCACUCCGCCUGGGGAGUACGACCGCAAGGUUGAAACUCAAAGGAAUUGACGGGGGCCCGCACAAGCGGUGGAGCAUGUGGUUUAUUCGAAGCAACGCGAAGAACCUUAACCAGGUCUUGACAUCCUUUGACCACUCUAGAGAUAGAACUUCCCCUUUCGGGGGCAAAGUGACAGGUGGUGCAUGGUUGUCGUCAGCUCGUGUCGUGAGAUGUUGGGUUAAGUCCCGCAAACGAGCGCAACCCUUAUUGUUAGUUGCCAUCAUUCAGUUGGGCACUCUAGCAAGACUGCCGGUGACAAACCGGAGGAAGGUGGGGAUGACGUCAAAUCAUCAUGCCCCUUAUGACCUGGGCUACACACGUGCUACAAUGGGAAGUACAACGAGUUGCGAAGUCGCGAGGCUAAGCUAAUCUCUUAAAGCUUCUCUCAGUUCGGAUUGCAGGCUGCAACUCGCCUGCAUGAAGCCGGAAUCGCUAGUAAUCGCGGAUCAGCACGCCGCGGUGAAUACGUUCCCGGGCCUUGUACACACCGCCCGU
rnacentral:rRNA from 1 species